CUCUGCUGAUGUGGCCGAUGCUCCAGCUGGCUUGUCCACGAUCAAGUUAGCUUGCAUGGCUGUUACAUGUCCCUGCCUCUUUUUGAGUUUCAGUCUUCGGCCCCUAUUGUAUGCAUUCUUCAAUAAUCUCCCCUGAUCCUCAUCACACCCCUCGAACACUCUCCCAAUUUACAGCCAUGCAUUACUGUGAGAGAGAAGACGGAGAAUAUUUUCAUGGUGUUGUACAGAAUGCAUCUUCAACUCUCAAACCCUUCCAAUUCGGUUCAACUACCUAACACCUUAUCUCCGUCUAAAACCCCCGCACUUCACUUCCAUUACUCUCGUAAACAUGCUUAUGGAAUCAAAUUGAGGUCCGGAAACAGCAUCUUCCGCUUCUUUAAACGCGACAAACUCUGAAUUGGUCCUUCUAGGGCUUCAACUUCGUACUCGCUUGGAUCUUCGGGGAACGCCCCGAAGAAGACGCGUCCACUCAGCUAUUCGAGGCUUCCUGGAGUUGCCUUGCUCCACUCCUAUUAUCUCGAAAGCUCCGGCUAAUGGUGCUACGAGGUCCUUGUACGCCCUUUUCUUCAAUUUCCAGUUUCCAGUUUUCAGAUUGAAGUGAUACAGAGUAAGAAAUCGCUGCGCAUAAGUGGCUAUGAACUCCAAUGCAUUGAGAACAAAUUCAAACUCCUCAUUGGACAUGUAGUAAGGGAAGCUGACUCUUGCCCAACCAGGAGCAAUUGGAGUUAGAUUGCAAUUACCUUUUUUACGGCAGAUCUUAUGUUAAGUGAGAUAGUAUCAUCAACAUCGAGCAAACGGUGACCGUAGGGUCCAGCACAAGCACAUCCUCCUCGAGCCUGUAUACCAAAUAGGUCACUGAGGAGUGCUGCUACAAAAGGUCCAUGAAGAGGCUUCCCUCUGUUAUUCCCCGUCUCUCUCCACAGGUAAAGACCCUCUUCUGAUUUAUCUCUGCUGUUGACACUACACCCGUUGCUCUCGCCAUUUGAGGACGUAUUAGAAGUGGAAUAAACAAGGAAGGACAAUAUGGCCUGUCUCUUGGCACUGGAGGAGUGCCACCAUUUUCCCUCUCUUCUAUGUCAUCCAGGUACAAUGUGUCCUGCAAUUUAUGUUUGUUAAUGUUAUCAGUGAACAGAGCUUUGAGCAUCAGAAAAAUCACCAAAGGGAGCUCACCUUCUCAUUGAAGCCA